UGGGGAAUAUUGCACAAUGGAGGGAACUCUGAUGCAGCGACGCCGCGUGAACGAAGAAGGCUUUCGAGUCGUAAAGUUCUUUUAUAUGGGAAGAUAAUGACGGUACCAUAAGAAAAAGCCCCGGCUAACUACGUGCCAGCAGCCGCGGUAAUACGUAGGGGGCUAGCGUUGUCCGGAAUCACUGGGCGUAAAGGGUUCGCAGGCGGAAAUGCAAGUCAGGUGUAAAAGGCAGUAGCUUAACUACUGUAAGCAUUUGAAACUGCAUAUCUUGUUAAGAGUAGAGGUAAGUGGUCUUUUUAGUGUAUCGGUGCCCUGCGUAGAUAUUAAACAUCCUCCCGGUGUCGCAGUCGACUUCCUAUGCUCAUUCUGACGCUCAGCAACGAACGCCUGGGUACCUAACAGU
rnacentral:rRNA from 1 species